AGAAUCAAUUGAUUGCGAUGGGUGAAAUGAUGACGGAGAAAAGGGAUUUCCCCCUAUGUGAAGCAAGUUGGGGGUGGUGAUAGGAGAUAGAGAGGGGAUCGAUUGGUGG